rnacentral:rRNA from 1 species
UACGGAGGGGGCUAGCGUUAUUCGGAAUUACUGGGCGUAAAGCGCACGUAGGUGGAUCUGCAAGUCAGAGGUGAAAUCCCAGGGCUCAAUCUUGGAACUGCCUUUGAAACUGCGGGUCUUGAGUUCGAGAGAGGUGAGUGGAAUUCCGAGUGUCGAGGUGAAAUUCGUAGAUAUUCGGAGGAACGCCAGUGGCGAAGGCGGCUCACUGGCUCGAUACUGACGCUGAGGUGCGAAAGCGUGGGGAGCAAACAGG